rnacentral:lncRNA from 1 species
GAGUAAGCCACCGUUUCAAGCCUGCCCUGUGGAGGAAAUGCCAGUUUAUUAAAUAACGAGUAAGCCACCGUUUCAAGCCUGGCCUGUGGAGGAAAUGCCAGUUUAUUAAAUAACGAGUAAGCCACCGUUUCAAGCCUGCCCUGUGGAGGAAAUGCCAGUUUAUUAAAUAACGAGUGCGGAUCGAUGAGUACGAUCACUCCAAGCUCAUCCAGGGGCAACAGAAGAAGCCCUUUGAGGAGCACUGGAGGAAGCACACCCUGUCCUAUGUGGACGUCAGCACUGGGAAGGUCACUCUGGAAUAUAGACCCAUAAUCGACAAAACUUUGAACGAGGCUGACUGUGCCACCGUCCCCCCAGCCAUUCGCUCCUACUGAUGAGACAAGAUGCGGUGAUGACAGAAUCAGCUUUUGUAAUUACGUAUAAUAGCUCAUACAUGUGUCCAUGUCAUAACUGUCUUUAUACGCUUCUGCACUCUGGGGAAGAAGGAGUACAUUGAAGGGGGAUUGGCACCCAGUGGCCGGGGAGCGUGACACUUACCUUUGUCCCUUGCUUCAUUCUUGUGACAAUAUAAAACUGGGCACAGCUCUUAAAUAAAAUAUAAAUGAACAAACUUUCUUUUAUUUCCAAAUCCAUGUCAAAUAUUUUACUGUUAUGACGUGUCAUAUUUGUUGACCUAAAAAUCAAAUGUAAUUAUCUUUGUAUUCUGUUACAUCAAAAUCCAGAUAUUUUGUUGCAGUUUCUUUUUUUUUUUUUUGAGACCAGGUUGGUGCAGUGGUGCAGUCUCAGCUCACUGCAGCCUCAAACUCCUGGGCAGCUCAGGUGAUCUUCCCAACUCAGCCUUCU